rnacentral:rRNA from 1 species
UACGGAAGGCAGCAGUGGGGAAUAUUGCACAAUGGGCGCAAGCCUGAUGCAGCCAUGCCGCGUGUAUGAAAAAGGCCUUCGGGUUGUAAAGUACUUUCAGUCGUGAGGAAGGUGUUAAGGUUAAUAACCUUAGCAAUUGACGUUAGCGACAGAAGAAGCACCGGCUAACUCCGUGCCAGCAGCCGCGGUAAUACGGAGGGUGCGAGCGUUAAUCGGAAUUACUGGGCGUAAAGGGCACGCAGGCGGUUAAUUAAGUUGGAUGUGAAAUCCCCGGGCUUAACCUGGGAAUGGCAUUCAAGACUGGUUAGCUAGAGUCUUGUAGAGGGGGGUUAGAAUUCCAUGUGUAGCGGUGAAAUGCGUAGAGAUGUGGAGGAAUACCGGUGGCGAAGGCGGCCCCUGGACAAAGCUGAUGCUCAUGUGCGAAAGCGUGGGGAGCAAAC